UUUUUUUCUCGUGAAGUUCUCAACAUGGCGAAUAACAGCACAGGCUAAUGGCGAGCUAGCGUAUCUCCCUCUCUCACCUGCCGUUAAAGUCUGAAGAAUAGUAUGCAGCAGCCUUUGAAAAAAUCCCAGAAAGAGUUUACAUAAUGGAAACGCGGGGGAUUGAGCAGAUGUUCGACUUCCAGCGGUUACCAAAUGAUCGCUUCAUCCUGCUGUUGUUGUUGCUGUACUCCCCUGUCGGCGUGUGUUUGAUGCUACUGCGAAUAUUUAUUGGUGUCCAUGUGUUUCUAGUGAGUUGUGCACUACCUGACAGUAUUGUCAGAAGGUUCAUAGUGAGAAUAAUGUGUUCAGUGCUGGGUCUGCAUGUCCGGCAGAAUAGCCCACACUUGCAGGACAAAACCUCCCGACUUUACAUCUGCAAUCACGUUACACAUUUCGACCACAAUAUUAUCAACCUUCUGACCUCCUGUAACACGCCACUGCUGGAGAGCCCUGUGGGGUUCUUGUGCUGGGCGAGGGGUUUUAUGGAGCUGGGUCAGGGUGUACAGAGCAGGACGGAGCUGAUGGAGACCCUCCGCAGGUAUUGCUCAUCUCCUGCCGCUUUACCCCUACUACUCUUUCCAGAGGAGGACACCACCAAUGGCCGAACCGGUCUCCUCAAGUUCAGCUCUUGGCCUUUCUCUGUGUCUGACGCCAUCCAGCCUGUGGCAUUGCUGGUGAAGAGGCCUUUCAUAGCUGUGAACACACCAGCAUCCUCAUGGCUGACAGAGCUGCUAUGGACCUUUUUUGUACCAUUCACAGUGUACCAUGUAAGAUGGCUUCCACCAUUGUCUAAAGAAGAUGGUGAAUCCCAUCAAGAAUUUGCCAGCAAAGUACAAGAGCUGCUGGCCACCGAGCUGGGUGUGAUGUCCACACAGAUCACUAAAGCAGACAAAGCUGAGCACAUCAAAAGGAAAAGACACACUGCCGCUCAGACUGCACAUUCAAGUAAGAACGGAUUCAAUGAUUUGGGUGCCAGACCUCGCACAGUGGCACAGGGUUUCCUGGGCACAAAUGCAGGAGCUGAAGACUCACAAGUAGCAUGUAUGGCGCAGCAGGUGAAAGAGGUGCUGCCUGACGUCCCGUUAUCGGUCAUCACCAGAGAUCUGUUGCAGACCAACUGUGUGGACACAACCAUAACCAACCUGCUGGAGCAUACUGACCAGUUCAGCUUGGAGGCGGCUGCAGGCACACCUUCAGGUUCAGCCAAACAAACAACUUCUUCCACCCUGUCUGUAACAGCAUCCACACCUAAUUUAAAGCCAGCUGCCAAAUCUUUUGGGAGAACACCCAUAGACAGACACAUGUCUCUACAGGAGAGAAAAGAAGCCUUAUACGAAUAUGCAAGAAGACGAUACAUUGAAAAACAUGGACUGAACAAAGUGGAUGAUCUAUGACCGUGGACAAAGACUCACCUGAGGAAUUGUUUAGGAAAGACAGCUGCUUAACACAAAAUCCGCAUAGACAAAGAAGAAAUUAUAGAGUUGACCCAGAAUGAAACAACAUUUGUGUUCACCAAACAUGCCGAGAGAAGGAUGGAUUUUUCCUUUCUUGUUUUUGUUUCUUUGUAAAUCUUCUUGCAUGGCAAUCAUGCAUGUCUUUUUAUUAUUUCUCUCUGCAACAGAAAACAAUUAUUUUGGUAAACAAUUUGUAUUAAGACCCAGUGACCUUGGCACACUUCAUAUUAUUUUUAUAAGGUCCUUGGGUAGAGAAUAGGGGAUCAGAAACGUAUGAAGGUGAGCUGAAACACAACUUGAGGUACGUUAUGUUGUCAAGGAUACAUGUUGAUGCAAUAUCAGCUUUUAAAUACAUUAAAAAUCAUAUAGAAAUGCAAA